UAUUUUAGCCCAUUGCAUUUUAUUAUCUCCAACUGCGUCAGAUGAUUAAGUGUGACAGAGGAAGGCAUCAAAUUUGUCAAACUAGAACAACUACGAACCUUUAAUCUUCUCACUUAUUUCUCCUUUAUCUUGAAAUAUCUUCUUGAAGCAACUCCACUCAACAUGUAGUUUCUCAAGAGUAUGCACAUUUUCAAGAAACCAAUAAGGAAAUCUUGCCUCUUCAGUGUUAUAGCUAGUCAAGCCAAUAGAAGUCAUUUUGCUAAAGAGGGCACUUGAGUUUUGAGUUUGCAAUAUCAUGUCAGCAUCUGCCUGUACCAUCCUCAACAGCUCCAAGUUUGGAAUC
rnacentral:lncRNA from 1 species